GUGACUAUAGUUUACAAAAAACAUCAGACUGUGAAUCUGACAACAGGAUUUUAACCUCCUUACUCACC
rnacentral:tRNA from 1 species